GAGUUUGAUCCUGGCUCAGGACGAACGCUGGCGGCGUGCCUAAUACAUGCAAGUCGAGCGGACCGGAUCGGAGCUUGCUCUGAUUUGGUCAGCGGCGGACGGGUGAGUAACACGUGGGCAACCUGCCCGCAAGACCGGGAUAACUCCGGGAAACCGGAGCUAAU
rnacentral:rRNA from 1 species